rnacentral:misc_RNA from 1 species
GAUGAAGAACGUAGCGAAAUGCAAUACUUGGUGUGAAUUGCAGAAUCCCGUGAACCAUCGAGUCUUUGAACGCAAGUUGCGCCUCAAGCCAUUAGGUUGAGGGCACGUCUGCCUGGGCGUCACAUAUCGUUGCCUGAUGCCAGUUUCCUCGUGAUGGGUGACUGUGCAGGGCGAAUGAUGGCUUCCCGUGAGCAUUGUUGCCUCAUGGUUGGUUGAAAAUUGAGUCCUUGUUAGGGAGCGCCGUGAUAGAUGGUGGUUGAGUGACGAACGAGACCCAAUCAUGUGAGACCCCUACCGAAUUUGGCCUUCAUGACCCACAUGCGUCUUUGGAACGCUCAUGACGAGACCUCAGGUCAGGCGGGGCUACCCGCUGAGUUUAAGCAUAUCAAUAAGCGGAGGA